rnacentral:rRNA from 1 species
AUACGGAGGGUGCAAGCGUUGUUCGGAUUUAUUGGGCGUAAAGCGAGUGUAGGCGGUUUGACAAGUCGAAUGUGAAAUCCCGAGGUCCAACCUCGGAACUGCAUCCGAAACUGUCAGGCUAGAGUCCCGGAGAGGAUGGCGGAAUUCCCGGUGUAGGGGUGAAAUCCGUAGAUAUCGGGAGGAACACCAGUGGCGAAGGCGGCCAUCUGGACGGUGACUGACGCUGAGACUCGAAAGUGUGGGUAGCAAACAGGAUUAGAAACCCUAGUAGUCC